rnacentral:rRNA from 1 species
AUUGAACGCUGGCGGCAUGCUUUACACAUGCAAGUCGAACGGUAACAGGCCGCAAGGUGCUGACGAGUGGCGAACGGGUGAGUAAUGCAUCGGAACGUGCCCAGUCGUGGGGGAUAACUACUCGAAAGAGUAGCUAAUACCGCAUACGAUCUAUGGUUGAAAGCGGGGGACCGUAAGGCCUCGCGCGAUUGGAGCGGCCGAUGCUAGAUUAGCUAGUUGGUAAGGUAAAGGCUUACCAAGCCAACGAUCUAUAGCCGACCUGAGAGGAUGAUCGGCCACACUGGAACGGAGACACGGCCCAGACACCUACGGGAGGCAGCAGUAGGGAAUCUUCCGCAAUGGGCGAAAGCCUGACGGAGCAACGCCGCGUGAGUGAUGAAGGUCUUCGGAUCGGAAAACGCUGUUAUUAGGGAAGAACAUAUGUGUAAGUAACUGUGCACAUCUUGACGGUACCUAAUCAGAAAGCCACGGCUAACUACGUG